rnacentral:rRNA from 1 species
GACGGGGGGGGCAAGUGUUCUUCGGAAUGACUGGGCGUAAAGGGCACGUAGGCGGUGAAUCGGGUUGAAAGUGAAAGUCGCCAAAAAGUGGCGGAAUGCUCUCGAAACCAAUUCACUUGAGUGAGACAGAGGAGAGUGGAAUUUCGUGUGUAGGGGUGAAAUGCGUAGAGAUCAUGAGGAAGACCAGUGGCGAAGGCGGGUCUCUGGACAGUUCCUGACACUGAGGCACGAAGGCCAGGGGAGCAAACGGG